rnacentral:tRNA from 1 species
GGAGGGGACAGCUCAAAUGGUAGAGCGUAUGCUUAGCAUGCAUGGGAUCUUGGGUUCAAUCCCUGAUACCUCCU